GGGUUCUUUUAACGAAGUGGGCGGAGUCUGUGAUGGUCUUUGGCUUUUAAUAACGUAUCGCGUUCGUCACUGACAAGUAGUUUUGUUUUUGCGCGGCUGUUGUUUAUACCAGCAGAAGCUCAAUGACUCAUGGUGACACAUUGUGAGUAAGCUCACUUGUGCCCAAAAACAACAAACAACGCGGCUGUUCUCAUUUAGACCCAAUUGAAGCUCUCGUUCCACCGCUUGGUGAUGGAAUGACCUGUUAGACGAAAUCUGUUCAACAUUUACUCCAACUGUGCAUUCAUAUCUUUUUCAUCUGCUAUAAAUGGAUUUGUUUGCUGUGGAGCUGUAUAAAUUCUCCAUAAGUUCAAGCAUUGUGGACCUCAGCCCAGAUGUGAUCAACUGGAAAAAAAGAAGUGCACCUACUCCGAGCUACAAGGACGACACAAACCUGGCAGAGGCCCCCUGGCCUGCCUUAUGCCCACCUGCGUGCCCAUCUGCAGAAGAGCCCCGCCAGUUGUUGUGUUUUUGUGCCAGGGUGAAUCAAGCCCAUCGGCUCCACUCCCAGUCGAAGAGGAAGAUUCCUUAUGGCAGACAUGUCACAUUCAGCAUCACGUAUCCACAAGUUCCCUGAGCGAUGACGCAUGUCGGGCCUUGUGUGAAAGGUGAGCGCCAAUGGGUGGGACUCGCAUGCUGAUGGAAUGACGGUUGUCAGAGGGAUUAAAACUAAAGAUGAACCAUGUGGGAGUUUCCUCCAAAGAGCCCGUGGAUAAAUCUCAUUAGCAUACCAGCACUGUGGAUGGCUGUAAAUUUAACGAAUGACGUGCUGGAGAGGAUGAGCCAUGCCCAGAUCAGCAUGCAAAGAGCCAGCUAAGACUCUGGAAGCCCAAGAGCUGGCAGAUAUUAAGACUGGGAUCGAUUUCAUGGAACAUCACCUUGUGCAAUGAGCUGAAUCAGCCUCCGUCAGAUGGUCUGGCCCGUUGACGGAUGGAAUUGGACUGGAUGUCGGUGGGCUGGGCCCAUCUCCGAAAUAUGAGGAUAUGAAGCAGUGGAGCUGGUUUUGUUCCAGUCGGGGCAGGUCCCAGCAUCCAGUGCCUUCUUGCCCUGAGCCAGAAAUGUGCUCCCACAAAUGUGUGUACAUCAUCUCUGAACGGAGGGUAAAUAAGGUUGACUCAUCAGGGCACCCCAAGCAGACGGAGACAAACGUGACCCAUCCUGAUUAAAGCACAGACUCCCGAGACAUGGGCUUGGCUGGAGCAUCUCACAAUCUCCCUUGCCAUCUUCUAAUAAAGUCAGUCAUGCAGGGGGGCAUCAGUCUGAGUGUUCCUGGCAAAUGGUCAAGGUUUGGCUGAAUAGAAUGGCCCGUCUGCGGGUCGGUGCUAUAACCACAGUACAUGGUUUGAAAGUAAAAGUAUCUUACACCAUGUAUCUUGCUCUAUUAUAGGUUUUAAUUAAAUUAUUUGAUCCAACUUUUUACUUUUUAAUUAUUUAAACUUUUUUAUUUUUAUUUCAGUUAUCAAAAAUGUUUUCAAGUACUUUUUGUUAACGAUAAUAAAACAGUCCCCAUUGAUGAGCAAUGUAAUUUAGCCAUUUAUUGUGACAUUAAAACGUCCUGUGGUCCCAUUAAUGCCUGGUUCAGAUUACGCGAUUUUUUUUUGUCUGUUACGAUAGUCACUGU